UACGUAGGGGGCAAGCGUUGUCCGGAAUCAUUGGGCGUAAAGCGCGUGUAGGCGGCUUGAUAAGUCCGCUCUGAAAGCCCGGGGCUCAACCCCGGGAGGCGGGUGGAUACUGUCAAGCUCGAGUCCGGAAGAGGCGAGUGGAAUUCCUGGUGUAGCGGUGAAAUGCGCAGAUAUCAGGAGGAACACCGGUGGCGAAGGCGGUUCUCUGGGCAUGUCCUGACGCUGAGGAGCGAAAGUGUGGGGAGCGAGCAGG
rnacentral:rRNA from 1 species